AUUGGAGAUUAUUUCCUGAACUUUUCAUUGCUCCUUUUUUUUCUGGCAAUGGCAGAAGCAGAGCAGAGGUGAUUGUAUCUAUUACAUAUAAUUAGAACUGUCCAGUUCUUACCUUCUCUUUGUAUUCUACCAUUAUUAGCUAGACUCUUUGUGGUCAUAAAUAUACUUUGUUUCAUUAAGCUUGCAUUGUGCUGCCAGUUAAUUAACCCGUUAUGCCAUCUUCUUUCCGUGUUCCUGUGGUGCUCCUCGGCGAACUCAGCCUCAGGCAUCAGAGAUGAGCUCCUUCCCGAGCUGUGGAGUAUGUGGUUUUCUAUUUUUAUCGAGAGUUUUGACUGCUUGUCCAGGAGAAGUAAUUGUUUCAAUUCAUUUGCAAAACCUGAUGAUUUUUAGGACAGAAACUUGGACCUGGUUUAGUUAUGCCAUCUUGAAUGUGACAGGAGGCUGAGGAACUCGCGGUCAUUGCAUCCAGGUGGAGCAUAGAGUUAGAUAGCUGCCAUCAUGGUAGUGUCUCAGCAGGACUUCUUCAUUAACAGGAAAUCGUCAUGCAAAUUCUUAUUGUCCAUUCAGUUUUAUGAAACCAAGCCUAAUCUGCUAGUGAUGUUGCCUUUUUUUUAACUCUUGUAAUAAUACUGUACAAGUGAUGUACACACGGCACUUGUGCCAUUAUUGGUGACCAAAAUGCUAAUUUGAUGCUUGGUUGCAAGUAAUUUCAUUGUGUCCA